rnacentral:rRNA from 1 species
GGGUGCCCGUACCGCAAACCGACACAGGUAGGCGAGGAGAGAAUCCUAAGGUGAGCGAGAGAACUCUCGUUAAGGAACUCGGCAAAAUGACCCCGUAACUUCGGGAGAAGGGGUGCUCUUGCGGGUGCAAGCCUGCGAGAGCCGCAGUGAAUAGGCCCAGGCGACUGUUUAGCAAAAACACAGGUCUCUGCGAAGCCGCAAGGCGAAGUAUAGGGGCUGACACCUGCCCGGUGCUGGAAGGUUAAGAGGAGGGGUUAGCACGUUAGUGCGAAGCUCUGAAUUGAAGCCCCAGUAAACGGCGGCCGUAACUAUAACGGUCCUAAGGUAGCGAAAUUCCUUGUCGGGUAAGUUCCGACCCGCACGAAAGGUGUAACGAUCUGGGCACUGUCUCAACGAGAGACUCGGUGAAAUUAUAGUACCUGUGAAGAUGCAGGUUACCCGCGACAGGACGGAAAGACCCCGUGGAGCUUUACUGCAGCCUGAUAUUGAAUUUUGGUACAGCUUGUACAGGAUAGGUAGGAGCCUUGGAAGCCGGAGCGCCAGCUUCGGUGGAGGCAUUGGUGGGAUACUACCCUGGCUGUAUUGACAUUCUAACCCGCACCCCUGAUCGGGGUGGGAGACAGUGUCAGGUGGGCAGUUUGACUGGGGCGGUCGCCUCCUAAAAAGUAACGGAGGCGCCCAAAGGUUCCCUCAGAAUGGUUGGAAAUCAUUCGUAGAGUGUAAAGGCACAAGGGAGCUUGACUGCGAGACCUACAAGUCGAGCAGGGACGAAAGUCGGGCUUAGUGAUCCGGUGGUUCCGCAUGGAAGGGCCAUCGCUCAACGGAUAAAAGCUACCCCGGGGAUAACAGGCUUAUCUCCCCCAAGAGUCCACAUCGACGGGGAGGUUUGGCACCUCGAUGUCGGCUCAUCGCAUCCUGGGGCUGUAGUCGGUCCCAAGGGUUGGGCUGUUCGCCCAUUAAAGCGGUACGCGAGCUGGGUUCAGAACGUCGUGAGACAGUUCGGUCCCUAUCCGUCGUGGGCGUAGGAAAUUUGAGAGGAGCUGUCCUUAGUACGAGAGGACCGGGAUGGACGCACCGCUGGUGUACCAGUUGUCUUGCCAAAGGCAUCGCUGGGUAGCUAUGUGCGGAAGGGAUAAGUGCUGAAAGCAUCUAAGCAUGAAGCCCCCCUCAAGAUGAGAUUUCCCAUAGCGCAAGCUAGUAAGAUCCCUGAAAGAUGAUCAGGUUGAUAGGUCAGAGGUGGAAGCGUGGCGACAUGUGGAGCUGACUGAUACUAAUAGAUCGAGGACUUAACUAA